UACAGAGGUCUCAAGCGUUGUUCGGAUUCAUUGGGCGUAAAGGGUGCGUAGGCGGCGCGGUAAGUCGGAUGUGAAAUCUCGGAGCUUAACUUCGAAACUGCAUUCGAUACUGCCGUGCUUGAGGACUGGAGAGGAGACUGGAAUUUACGGUGUAGCGGUGAAAUGCGUAGAUAUCGUAAGGAAGACCAGUGGCGAAGGCGGGUCUCUGGACAGUUCCUGACGCUGAGGUGCGAAAGCGUGGGGAGCAAACAGG
rnacentral:rRNA from 1 species